rnacentral:tRNA from 1 species
CGCGAAGUAGCUCAGUUGGUAGAGCACCAUUCGCUCAGACGGGAAGGCACGGGUUCGAUUCCCGUCUUCGCGGCCG